rnacentral:rRNA from 1 species
CCUUGUACACACCGCCCGUCACGCCAUGGAAGCUGGGGGGACCUAAAGUCGGUGGGCUAACCGCAAGGAGGCAGCCGCCAAAGGUCAAUUCAGUGACUGGGGCG